CACUGCACCCUCAAUCGCCACUAACUUCACUGGCUUCCUUUCACUUUAUUAAAGAACGUGGAGAGAACGUCACCGCGUUGUAUACGAUAACUAAUUAAAAAUGUGAACAAGUGAUAUCUGCGUGCUGCGUUUAGGCGCUGGCAAGUUUGAAUAGAAACAAAAUGGAGUCAUGUACAACACGUGUUUUCUGGCAGAGAUCGGCACACGAUAGUUCAUUCGGCAUCGCUACGGAUUAUUAUUGAAGUUCUCAUUGUAAAUGUUCAUUACAACGCGCAAUGGGUGCAACAAAUUCUGUGACAAACAAGGCCUACAAACCCUGUUAAUAAGGGCUUUCCCUAAUGCUGUCUUCUUCACUACCAAUUUUCACGAUGGAUGGCCCAGAGACGUAUCGGAAAUCUCUAUUGAAAAGGUGUGAAAGCAGUAAAAAAAAAAUUACAAUAGUUACUUUAUAAAGGCGUUUAUCCAGAAAGGUUAGUACUCCAGAAAUGCUGUUUAUCGGAAAUGAAGACUUCAAUGAUGAUCACUUAAACCAUUCACAGACACCAUAUAAAGGUCAAGCGCUGACAAUCUUCUUCAAUAUUCUUUUGGAGAUAGGGAGUCAUGUUUGACUGGUUAUGGGCCCUGGUUAAAAACUUGGCACUGAGCAUCGUUGGGUACCUUGGAUGAAGAAAAAUUAUAAUCUUGUGGAACUAUGAAUAAAUAAAAACUCAAUUUGUGUUGUUAAAAA